rnacentral:rRNA from 1 species
UACGUAGGUGGCGAGCGUUGUCCGGAUUUAUUGGGUUUAAAGGGUGCGUAGGCGGUCCUAUAAGUCAGUGGUGAAAUAUCGCAGCUCAACUGUGAGGGUGCCAUUGAUACUGUAGGACUUGAGUGAAUUUGAGGUAGGCGGAAUUGACGGUGUAGCGGUGAAGUGCUUAGAUAUCGUCAAGAACACCGAUAGUGAAGACAGCUUACCAAGCUUCAACUGACGCUGAGGCACGAAAGUGUGGGGAUCAAACAGG